rnacentral:tRNA from 1 species
UGCGCCCGUAGCUCAACAGGAUAGAGCGGCGGACUACGAAUCCGUAGGUUAGAGGUUCAAGUCCUCUCGGGCGCACCAA